CUGAUGGGAGCUCACAGUGGAGCAGAGAGGGUCUCAGAAGAACUGCUCCCUAAGCUAAGGUGCAAUCAGAGAGGAAGCAGGGGAGGGGGUUAAGCUCACACACUAAAACCAGAAAUCAACAAACCCCUCUCGAGAUCAGAUCUCUAGAAACCUCUCCGCGUGAGGAUACAGACCUGCCUUCCUUGGAGCCUCACUGGUGUAGACUGCCUGAGUUCUAAACAGAGUUGGUUCCAUCAGUCAUGUUCCUGGAAAUGCCAGUGACUGAGCCACUAAUGUCCUGCUUCUCAAGCCACACAUGUAAUGUGAAUUCUGAUUCCCGAACUCUCAUGAAGAGCGGUUUAUGGAUUCUUAAGGAGGUGGCCGUCACUUCUUGUUCCGGGACCAGGACAUUCGGGAGAGUUCAUCCAUUGUACACCAUGGGUGUGUCUUCUCCAGGUCGUCCAUUAAAGCUGUGAUCCCUCAGCUCCACGGGCA